AUUCCAGCUCCAAUAGCGUAUAUUAAAGUUGUUGCAGUUGAAAAGCUCGUAGUUGGAUUUCUGACUUCAGAUACCUGACCCUCCCUCGCUAGAGGUGUGUGUGCCGGAGUAUUUGUAUCAUCCUUUCAGUGAUCGGCUCUACCCUUAACCGGGUCGGAGCUGCUAGCUGGAUCUUUUACUUUGAAGAAAUUGGAGUGUUUAAAGCAGGCUUACGCCAGAACAUAUUAGCAUGGAAUAAUAAUUUAGGACUUUUGUUCUAUUUUGUUGGUUUCUAGGACGAAAGUAAUGAUUGAUAGGGAUAGUUGGGGGUGCUAGUAUUCGGCGGCCAGAGGUGAAAUUCUUUGAUCCGCUGAAGACUAACUUAUGCGAAAGCAUUCACCAAGGAUGUCUUCAUUA
rnacentral:rRNA from 1 species